UGGCCUUUCGGGGAACCAGGAGACAGGUGCUGCAUGGCUGUCGUCAGCUCGUGUCGUGAGAUGUUGGGUUAAGUCCCGCAACGAGCGCAACUCUUGUCAUUAGUUGCCAGCAGGUUAAGCUGGGCACUCUAGUGAGACUGCCGGGGACAACUCGGAGGAAGGUGGGGAUGACGUCAAAUCAUCAUGCCCCUUAUGUUCUGGGCUACACACGUGCUACAAUGGCCGGUACAGAGAGACGCAAUGUCGCGAGGCGGAGCAAACUCUAAACCGGUCCCAGUUCGGAUUGCAGGCUGAAACUCGCCUGCAUGAAGUCGGAGUUGCUAGUAAUCGCGAAUCAGAAUGUCGCGGUGAAUGCGUUCCCGGGUCUU
rnacentral:rRNA from 2 species